rnacentral:misc_RNA from 1 species
GGUGGGAGCGAGCCUGCUCGCGAUGGGGUAGGGCAUUCAAUGUUGAAUUGACUGUCAAGCUGCCAUCGCGAGCAGGCUCGCUGCCAUA